CAGAAAAUAGUUUAUUAAAAUUUUAAUUUUGGAGAUUAAAGAUAGGAGUUUCCUUUUUCUGA
rnacentral:tRNA from 1 species